GGUGCGUGUCAUCGGCGGCGCAGGCAGCCAAAACGACGACGGCGUCAAAGGUGUCGGAUUGUGCUCAAAUUCGGUCGCGAGUUGCGGAACGUGCCUACUACCGAUACUCAUGGCAAUGCCAUGACCGGCGAUGUAUUUUGGGCAUCCGAGGUCGUCCGAGGGGCGAAAAUGCCAGGUACUGAUGAGGUGCAUGUCAUCGGCGGCGCAGGCAGCCAAAACGACGACGGCGUCAAAGGUGUCGGAUUGUGCUCAAAUUCGGUCGGGAGUUGCGGAACGUGCCUACGACCGAUAAUCAUUGCUAUGCCAUGACCGGUGAUGUAUUUUGGGCAUCCGAGGUCGUCUGAGGGGCGAAAAUGCCAGGUACUGAUGAGGUGCGUGUCAUCGGCGGCGCAGGCAGCCAAAACGACGACGGCGUCAAAGGUGUCGGAUUGUGCUCAAAUUCGGUCGGGAGUUGCGGAACGUGCCUACGACCGAUAAUCAUUGCUAUGCCAUGACCGGUGAUGUAUUUUGGGCAUCCGAGGUCGUCUGAGGGGCGAAAAUGCCAGGCAGCCAAAACGACGACGGCGUCAAAGGUGUCGGAUUGUGCUCAAAUUCGGUCGGGAGUUGCGGAACGUGCCUACGACCGAUAAUCAUUGCUAUGCCAUGACCGGUGAUGUAUUUUGGGCAUCCGAGGUCGUCUGAGGGGCGAAAAUGCCAGGUACUGAUGAGGUGCGUGUCAUCGGCGGCGCAGGCAGCCAAAACGACGACGGCGUCAAAGGUGUCGGAUUGUGCUCAAAUUCGGUCGGGAGUUGCGGAACGUGCCUACUACCGAUACUCAUGGCAAUGCCAUGACCGGCGAUGUAUUUUGGGCAUCCGAGGUCGUCCGAGGGGCGAAAAUGCCAGGUACUGAUGAGGUGCAUGUCAUCGGCGGCGCAGGCAGCCAAAACGACGACGGCGUCAAAGGUGUCGGAUUGUGCUCAAAUUCGGUCGGGAGUUGCGGAACGUGCCUACGACCGAUAAUCAUUGCUAUGCCAUGACCGGUGAUGUAUUUUGGGCAUCCGAGGUCGUCUGAGGGGCGAAAAUGCCAGGUACUGAUGAGGUGCGUGUCAUCGGCGGCGCAGGCAGCCAAAACGACGACGGCGUCAAAGGUGUCGGAUUGUGCUCAAAUUCGGUCGGGAGUUGCGGAACGUGCCUACUACCGAUACUCAUGGCAAUGCCAUGACCGGCGAUGUAUUUUGGGCAUCCGAGGUCGUCCGAGGGGCGAAAAUGCCAGGUACUGAUGAGGUGCAUGUCAUCGGCGGCGCAGGCAGCCAAAACGACGACGGCGUCAAAGGUGUCGGAUUGUGCUCAAAUUCGGUCGGGAGUUGCGGAACGUGCCUACGACCGAUAAUCAUUGCUAUGCCAUGACCGGUGAUGUAUUUUGGGCAUCCGAGGUCGUCUGAGGGGCGAAAAUGCCAGGUACUGAUGAGGUGCGUGUCAUCGGCGGCGCAGGCAGCCAAAACGACGACGGCGUCAAAGGUGUCGGAUUGUGCUCAAAUUCGGUCGGGAGUUGCGGAACGUGCCUACUACCGAUACUCAUGGCAAUGCCAUGACCGGCGAUGUAUUUUGGGCAUCCGAGGUCGUCCGAGGGGCGAAAAUGCCAGGUACUGAUGAGGUGCAUGUCAUCGGCGGCGCAGGCAGCCAAAACGACGACGGCGUCAAAGGUGUCGGAUUGUGCUCAAAUUCGGUCGGGAGUUGCGGAACGUGCCUACGACCGAUAAUCAUUGCUAUGCCAUGACCGGUGAUGUAUUUUGGGCAUCCGAGGUCGUCUGAGGGGCGAAAAUGCCAGGUACUGAUGAGGUGCGUGUCAUCGGCGGCGCAGGCAGCCAAAACGACGACGGCGUCAAAGGUGUCGGAUUGUGCUCAAAUUCGGUCGGGAGUUGCGGAACGUGCCUACGACCGAUAAUCAUUGCUAUGCCAUGACCGG